AUCGCCGGUCGGCCCAACCAAGACGUCGAUCUGUGAUGCAAACGCUGCGUUUUAAAAAAUAAAAAGAUACAAAAACGGUGCGGCACAAAUACGACGACGCCUCACUUUUAUCAGCCGCUUAGUGAUCGAACGGUGGACGCACCUGUCUCUAUGCUCGUCGCAAUCUUGAACUAGAUGACAAUGCUUCUGCUUCAUUCCGUGGAUUGGAAGAAAUGAAAAUGAAGUGGUACUCAGUAGCUUCUCUCCUCACCGUCCUCACCAGUUCUCAGGGGAUAUUGACUACUCUGUCACAAAGCAAUGGCAAAUAUAAAUAUGAUUACGCCACCGUUCCUUUCCUUGCUGAGGUUUUUAAGCUUAUUGUGUCAAGUGUUUUUCUAUGGAGAGAGUGUAAGAAAUCGCCUCCUCCGAAAAUGACAACGGAUUGGAAGACCGUUCGAUUGUUCCCCAUUCCUUCUAUCAUUUACUUGAUCCAUAAUAAUGUCCAAUUUGCUACUCUCAUGUAUGUGGAUACGUCCACGUAUCAGAUAAUGGGAAAUUUGAAGAUUGUCACUACUGGAAUUUUAUUCAGGUUGUUUCUUAAGAAGAAGCUUUCUAAUCUACAAUGGAUGGCCAUCAUUCUAUUGGCUGUUGGAACAACCACGAGUCAGGUCAAAGGAUGUGGAGAGGCUUCAUGUGACUCCCUCUUCUCAGCACCAAUUCAAGGAUACAUGUUAGGAAUUUUGUCUGCUUGUCUUUCAGCAUUGGCUGGUGUUUAUACGGAGUUCUUGAUGAAGAAGAACAAUGACUGCUUAUACUGGCAGAAUGUACAGUUGUACACAUUUGGUGCAAUCUUCAAUAUGGCACGGCUUGUAUUGGAUGAUUUUAGAGGUGGAUUUGAGAAGGGACCUUGGUGGCAGCGUCUGUUUAAUGGAUACAGUGUUACAACCUGGAUGGUUGUGUUAAAUCUAGGUUCUACUGGGCUUCUGGUUUCAUGGUUAAUGAAAUAUGCUGACAAUAUAGUGAAGGUGUAUUCCACAUCGAUGGCCAUGCUAUUGACAAUGGUUCUAUCUGUGUUCCUCUUCAGUUUCAAGCCAACACUUCAGCUUUUCUUGGGAAUCAUUGUUUGCAUGAUGUCACUACAUAUGUACUUUGCCCGUCCAAGUAUGCUUGUAGACUUGCCUCCAACAGUUAGAUCAGAUCCCGAGAGUCUUGUCAAUGUUCCAGUUGAUCAUAAAACAGAUUCAUGAAGAUCAGUAUAUUUUCUGAAGUAUUUGGUAAAGAUGCUUACAGCUGAACAUAUUACACGAAAGGUAUUACUGCUAACAAGGUCAGUUGGUGGACAUGACAUGGAGCUGGUCAUUUGCUCAUUUGAAUUUUUAGAAAAACUCAUUCAGAUGAAGAUUAGAUUAAUUCUCUUUGUUUUAUGGGGUAGGCCAUGACUUGCAUGACAAGACAUUGACAUUUAAUGUGGAAGAGAUUGAAAAUAAAGUUGACUAUGAACAGAAUUAUGCAUUAUUGCAAUGGAUUAAUGAAGACAAACAGUACUCAAAGCAACAAUACGUUGACUCAGUCACUGGCCUUAUGUUGUUUUGGUAUUGCUUGGAGCUACCGGUAGCUAUGCGCUGUUAACAAUGCAGUGACUGGUGGCCGCCACAAUUAAUUGUUUCAAGCAGGUGGAUAUUGAAUGCUGUUCGGUUGGUGGGGCAAAUGCUUGCAAUGCAUGUUUAUAAUAGAGUCAAUGUGUGGUAUAGAAGAACAUGAGGAUAAUUACUUGAAGGUUGCAUUGAAAUUGAAUAGCCAUGGGUAAUUGGGAACUAAAUUAUUGAAUCCAACAAUCUUUACUCGGACUUUUCUGUGGGUUGGAUGCAUUUUUUCAGUCUAGUGAAGUAUGUGGUUUGUGCGAUUUAAGAGGGGUAACAUUUCGCCGAGCCAACAGGGUUAGAAAAAGUUUUGGUUAGCUUGAACCGGGGAACCAGUGCCUUGCUGAAGGGUUCAACUUUGACAAGCUUUUGAUUUGCUUUUCUCAGAACUUCUAGAAGAAAGGAAAGAACCCCAAAAAUUUCAUUAAUGCGGCAUAUUAGCGACAUUCAACAAAGAAAAUAUCUAAGCAGCUACUGGUGUACAAUGAUUAUCAUUAUCGACCCCGUAAUCAUCUAAUUCUGGAAUAUUCGCGAUUUCUUCUCAAAAGUGGUUUAAUUGCAUACUCGAUUUUUUUUUUUGGAAGAAUUUGCUUACUCGAUUUUAAGUUAGCUUUAUUAAGAGUUUAGAAGCCACUGAUACCGAGUGUUUUAGAAGGUAAUUGAUGAGUGUAAGGAUGCUGCGUUGCUGCCAAUGAUUAAAGCUUUUGACGCUCCGACGGCGCCAGAACCAUGGAUAUCGAUGACCCUACUUAACUAUAUGCCGGCAUGCCUGGCAAAGAGCUGGACUUCGGGGAAAAACCAAUUUAUUAUUGUUAUUAUUAGAGCUGAACUUAUGGGAAAAAACCAA